UACGAACGCUGGCGGCGUGCUUAAUACAUGCAAGUCGAGCGAGGCCCAUCCAGUGGCAACACUGGGGAAGGCCGAGCGGCGAACGGGUGAGUAACACGUGAGCAACCUGCCCCGAAGUCUGGAAUAACAUCGGGAAACCGGUGCUAAUACCGGAUUGCCCCACCUGACCGCAUGAUCGGGUGAGGAAAGAUCUAUCGCUUCGGGAGGGGCUCGCGGCCUAUCAGCAGUUGGCGGGGUAACGGCCCACCAAGGCGUCGACGGGUAGCUGGUCUGAGAGGACGACCAGCCACACUGGGACUGAGACACGGCCCAGACUCCUACGGGAGGCAGCAGUGGGGAAUCUUGCGCAAUGGGCGAAAGCCUGACGCAGCGACGCCGCGUGAGGGAUGACGGCCUCGG
rnacentral:rRNA from 1 species